rnacentral:SRP_RNA from 1 species
GCUGGGCGUGGUGGCGCGUGCCUGUAAUCCCAGCUACUCAGGAGGCUGAGGCGGGAGAAUUGCUUGAACCCAGGAGGCAGAGGUUGCGGUGAGCCGAGAUCGGCCAUUGCACUCCAGCCUGGGUAACAAGAGCGAAACUCCGUCUCAA